rnacentral:lncRNA from 1 species
CAUUCGUUUUAACCCAAGGUUUCCCCAAGGCUGCAGAACAAAUUCCUUCUGUGCAGGAAGUGCUCGUGCUAAUCCAGAGGUUCAAAGCCUGUAUGAGGAAAUAUAAUGCUUCCUCCAGGGACUUUUCAGAGGAGAGUGGUUGACCACAAGAAAAUAAAAUCUCCUGCAGCUGAUCGUAAGCCUGUGUGAGAGGGCUGCUGAGGAGUCACCUAGGAAUGAGUGCAAUUCCUGUUUAUGAGUCAGCAGGGAAGGAGCAGCCCAAGUCAGAUUUUGGGAGAUGCCUGCGCUGUCUGCCUCUUUUCAGAACAUGGGAACACUGCAAGGAAAAUAAUGAGGAGAUAUGAGGUUAAGGAAUGUGGGAAUUCAAAGUUCUAUAGACCAUGCUUAUGGAUGGAUUGAUGUAGUUGCCUGCUAGGCUUGACAACACCUGCAGCAAGCAGAGAUGUGAGCUCUGAUCCAGCAUUGCUGUGUCGUAUUAAGUUUCAGAUGCUGCUGUAAUGUAGAAGAAGAGAGGCAGAGCUCGGGAGACCUGACAGGAGUGAUACCCCUUUAUCCUAUGACCACAUCUACUGUGGGACCUCCUCAACUGCCAUCUUCUUGAUUUGAAGCCUUUUCUUCAAGACAGAGACCCAAAGAAGUGCCACACGCACAGCACCUGGAGCAGCCAAAGAGUUAAAUCACUUCCCAUCGCCGUUUACAUGGGAUACAGAAACAACUUUUCCUGCUGCAUCUGUAGCUGCCAGCAGAACUCAGUGACAGCUUUAUAAAUCACACCUGAAGCAAAUAAAAAUGCCAUGUCCAGAA